GCCACUAUAGCUCAGGAGGUAGAGCGCAUCCUUGGUAAGGAUGAGGUCACCGGUUCAAAUCCGGUUAGUGGCU
rnacentral:tRNA from 1 species